AGGUGUUAUCAGUUACCCAGUGAGUUGAAGUCGAGUCAUAAUAAGCAAGGAUUUCAACGUCACCGAGGAAUGCUGCUGGAAAUCAUCACUCAUCGGAUAAGGUGACUCUCCAACGAGAUAGCCUACGUUUCAGAACUUGGCAGACGGAAAUGCGGGUAGUGAUUCGGAGAAAGCUGUGCCAGGAGUUUCAGAUAAGUCAACAGACUAUACCGCAUCAUCUUCAUAAUCACUUUCAAUAAGCAAUUUAAGUGAUUUCAAAGAAAACCAUAUAUAUAUGGAAAAGAAAAAGACUGUAAAUCAAUUAAAAAAAAAGAUUCUAAACAAACGCGAACCAGAAAAGAAACGACGAAAAGAAAAAUAAUUGCACGGAUUGGUAUAUCUUGCGAGAAGUUUAUUGUAAAGCUGUAAGACAUCUCUGUAUAAUUCAUAAAGAUGAACCGGCAGUGAGCAUAAUCUUGUUUCUCCUCAACAACUUAACCUAGUGAGCAUAUCCACAUUCGUAUACAUACUUGGCAUACAUUUUUACUAUUUAAUUAUAAAUUCAAAAUAACAAUCAUGUUUUUGUUUUCCGAGUUGGUGCAAAAAUUUUAAAUAAAUUGUGCAAAGAUUCUAAAUUGAUAUUGAGGUUCAAUAAUUUCAUUUUGAUCGCUUGUAUAGUUGACUGUAUAAUCAAUCACUGCUAUAAUUAGGCGCCCUGAUAGGUAGACAUUUGAGUUAUAUUUGGUGUAAUGUUUCUCAUUUUAGUUGACAUGGCAAAAUUUCGUUUCGCAUUUAUAGGCCCCACUGAAAACGUCACUUUAUU